AAGUGGUCGAAGGUUAGUUGGACUUUUAUAGAAAUUUUCCAUAAAUCUGCUUCUACGUGUGGUAUAACUGCAUGGCGUGGGUCUGCUGUGGAUCCGCCAUGUUUCUAUUACUCUUCGCGUGUCACAAGUGGAAGAAGGAAGAGAUACCUGGACGCAGCUGGAUUCCAGUAGCUGGGUCAGCCUUGCUCGGCCGUCUUCGUCGUUCACACGUGCAGGCCUGUCAGCUGUGCCUGGAACAGCUGAUUGAACGAUCGCGACAACUGUUUCUUCGGCUUCCUCUUGUGCGCCUGCCGCUUGGGAGGCGAUCCACCUGGCGCAGAUCAUCUGCCGGACUUUCCGCCAGUCUUCUAGAUUCAUCUUCACGCACGAGACAAUCGGUCAAGAUCGCACUGUGACGUCGAAUUGGAUCGGCUGCUUAUUACUUUCUUCUUUACGUUCUCUUGUAUACUUGUAUUCUUAUAUAUCUGUAUAUAUAGAUCGUAGACUGGUAUUGUUCGAUUUAAAAGACCAAGUUACUGUA